rnacentral:tRNA from 1 species
GUCGCACUAGCUCAACUAGGCAGAGCACCCGAUGUCACAUAACAUUUCCUCUACUUUUCUACCUCUCUUCCAUGAUUUGUGUGUGUUUCCUCCUUCGGGUGAUCCUGGGUUCGAGUCCCGGGGUGCGACUCCA